rnacentral:rRNA from 1 species
AUGUGGUUUAAUUCGAUGCAACGCGAAAACCUUACCCACCUUUGACAUGGCAGGAAUCCUGAAGAGAUUUGGGAGUGCUCGAAAGAGAACCUGCACACAGGUGCUGCAUGGCUGUCGUCAGCUCGUGUCGUGAGAUGUUGGGUUAAGUCCCGCAACGAGCGCAACCCUUGCCAUUAGUUGCUACGAAAGGGCACUCUAAUGGGACUGCCGGUGACAAACCGGAGGAAGGUGGGGAUGACGUCAAGUCCUCAUGGCCCUUAUAGGUGGGGCUACACACGUCAUACAAUGGCCGGUACAGAGGGUAGCCAACCCGCGAGGGGGAGCCAAUCCCACAAAGCCGGUCGUAGUCCGGAUCGCAGUCUGCAACUCGACUGCGUGAAGUCGGAAUCGCUAGUAAUCGCGGAUCAGCAUGUCGCGGUGAAUACGUUCCCGGGUCUU